rnacentral:sRNA from 1 species
AUGUAAGAUAAGAUAUUUCCGUCUUAACAAAGCGUAAAAGUGGCAGAUAGAUUAUAUCACCGUGCCUGGAUAUAUGCAAUACAGAAGAACCUGAGUUUUUUACUCAGGUUCUUUUUUUG